AUUGAACGCUGGCGGCAGGCUUAACACAUGCAAGUCGAGCGGGGGAAGGUAGCUUGCUACCGGACCUAGCGGCGGACGGGUGAGUAAUGCUUAGGAAUCUGCCUAUUAGUGGGGGACAACAUCUCGAAAGGGAUGCUAAUACCGCAUACGUCCUACGGGAGAAAGCAGGGGAUCUUCGGACCUUGCGCUAAUAGAUGAGCCUAAGUCGGAUUAGCUAGUUGGUGGGGUAAAGGCCUACCAAGGCGACGAUCUGUAGCGGGUCUGAGAGGAUGAUCCGCCACACUGGGACUGAGACACGGCCCAGACUCCUACGGGAGGCAGCAGUGGGGAAUAUUGGACAAUGGGGGGAACCCUGAUCCAGCCAUGCCGCGUGUGUGAAGAAGGCCUUAUGGUUGUAAAGCACUUUAAGCGAGGAGGAGGCUACUUUAGUUAUUACCUAGAGAUAGUGGACGUUACUCGCAGAAUAAGCACCGGCUGACUCUGUGCCAGCCGCCGCAGUAA
rnacentral:rRNA from 1 species